AGAGGGUUUUGAUGAAUUUGGUGUAUGGAAUAGGAAAGAGUAGGAGGAGAAGAGGAGCUAGUGAAUUUUUUAGGCGUUUUGGACGGUGGCGCGCGGCGGGGCAAAGGCUGCGACACGACUAGGGUUUGGGUUUGUCAAUUUUUGGUAGAGAUUUGGUGUAUUUGGGUUGUGGAUCUAGAAAGACGGUGAGGAGAAGAAAAGAACGGUGUAAUUUGAGUGUUUUUGGAGGAUGGCCGUCGCCCAUGGGCAAUUUACGACGGCGAAACUGGGCUGCGAUGUGCGGCAGUGGUAGGGGUCUAGGAGAAUAUAG
rnacentral:lncRNA from 1 species